AGGAGAGGAGAGGAGAGGAGAGGAGAGGAGAGGAGAGGAGAGGUGUUUUUUGGUGAAAAGGGAGAGCCAACAGCACUGUAAUACUAAAAGCUAGCGGAAAGGAAGAGAAAGCAUAAGGAAAAGGGGGAAGUAAAGAGACUACAGGAAAGAAAGAGGAGAUAGUAUAAAGAUGAAAAGCCUGUGGGAAACUGGCCCAGAACUGCCGUGCCAGCCACAGGCACAGCACAUCACUCUGGGUCACAGCUGCAAGUUUCCUCACUACAGCAAAAUCUUCUUCUCUUUCACCAGGUCACUCCCACGACAGAGAUUUUAAGGUGAGGACUGUGCAGGCACUCCCUACAGACUGAACUGUUCACGACCGACGACUUCCUUCUGGGCUUAAUGCUGGAACAGAGGGCACAGGAACAAUGCUCUGAAAAGUCAUCUCAGUUUUCAGCUCCUUCACUGGAAUUUUUGUCACCUCAGAGGUAUGCUUUGAUUGAGCUAUACAACUGGACCAUAAGAUGUCCCAGGAGAUCAGAUGAGUGAUCCAUUUAGUUCCAGCCUCUGUCUCCGAAGGUGACAACCCGAGGAGCUGUUCAGGUAGAAUACACAAGUUUGGACACUGUGUGCUCCACUGUCCUCAUGCUUCCCCACUAUCCCCCGCUGCUGCAUAAAGAACGUAGCAGGUACAUUCCCCUCAUGUCCAUUAAUGAUCCCUCUGUCCACUAACUCAUUUCAUCCCUUUCUGAAGGGAUCAUCAUCUGCUCAAAAUACAAGCUUUUGGACAUUUCAAAACAAUUCAGUAAACUGAAAUGCGAAUCAAAACAACUUUCAAUUUUCACAUACGUAGUGCCUUACAUCAGUCCUGUCCAUGACUGAUCAGUCAUUGUGAAAGAUCUGAUAAUAUUGGAAGAAAACAAACUUCACAGCUAAAGCCAUUAUCAGAAAUUUUGUCCAUCUCUGUUCUGUUUCACGUCAGCAUAAAAACACUGGCAGAAAAUAAGGGAGAAAUCAUUAAGUGACAACUGCUUUGUGACAAAAAGCAAGCAUUCAGAGUCUUCUUUAAUAAGAAGACUCUAAAUCAAGGCAGUUUAAUAUUUGAAAGAGCUUCAUAUGUCUUCUUUCCCUAAGGCAUACGUAACGGAUCAGAUUAAAACCCACUAAUUCUCUUUUCCUGACCAAGAGCCGGCAAGCCGCACACCAGACCGAGCCCCAUGCGGUGAGGCCGUGCCAGGAGCCCCGGGCGGACAGCGGCGACACCCGGGGCUGUCCCGCACGGCGCUGCCGCUGUCGCCGCGGAGCCAGCGCGUAACAGAGGGGCACGAGCCCGCUUCUCCUGCGGCAUGCGGGACCGGCCCAGCUCCGGCCCGCCGCACACCGAUGUCACCGGCCCGGGGGCUCCCCGCUCGGCUCCAGUCCCGGGGGCUCCCCGCUCGGCUCCAGUCCCGGGGGCUCCCCGCUCGGCUCCAGCCCCGGGGGCCGGGCCGCUCUCGCUGCGCGGGGGCCGCUCCCGCUGCGCGGAUGCCCCGGGCCGGCACCGUUACCGCGCUUCCCCCCGCCUCCGGUAUCGGAGCGGGGGCUGUCCGCCCGCGGAGCCACAGCCGGGGUGCCGGG